rnacentral:rRNA from 1 species
AGCAGCCGCGGUAAUUCCAGCUCCAAUAGCGUAUAUUAAAGUUGUUGCAGUUAAAAAGCUCGUAGUUGAAUUUCGGGAUCAAUAUAUCGGUCGUGCCUUCGGUACGUACUGGUAUCAUUGGUUUCUCCUUUCUGACGAACCAUGAUGUCAUUAAUUUGGUGUUAUGGGGAGUUAGGACUGUAACUUUGAAAAAAUUAGAGUGUUUAAAGCAGGCUCACGCUUGAAUACAUUAGCAUGGAAUAGUGAAAUAGGACGUUUGAUUCUAUUUUGUUGGUUUCUAGGAUCGACGUAAUGAUUAAUAGGGAUAGUUGGGGGCAUUAGUAUUCAAUUGUCAGAGGUGAAAUUCUUGGAUUUAUUGAAGACUAACUACUGCGAAAGCAUUUGCCAAGGAUGUUUUCAUUAAUCAAGAACGAAAGUUAGGGGAUCGAAGACGAUCAGAUACCGUCGUAGUCUUAACCAUAAACUAUGCCGACUAGGGAUCGGAUGAUGUUAAUUUUUAAUGACUCAUUCGGCGCCUUAA